UGGAACACAUAUAAAUAUAAUAAAGACAACUGAUGAUGAGCAUUUGUAUUUUAACCGAAAGGGAUAUAUUAGUAUAAAUGCGAUGAUAUUUGGGUCUCCCAAUGAAGGAGGCCGCGGAAAUUAUAAUUUUUUGGAGUUUACUCCUUAAGAAUCGUUUUUCAUAUAAGGCGCCUGGUAUGAAAAAAUAUGAGGAGUGAAAUCUACUGAUGAAUGACCUCAGAUGAACUCGGUAACGUUUUCGCGCGCAUCAUUUCUCCCCACUUUUCAGUUGAGUAUACUUUUAUGUAUACUUUGUGUAGAGUUAUUGUUGUUAUGACUAUAGCGCCAUCUAUACUACUAUCAUAGUCUAUACACUACACGGUCAGCUGAUUGGUACGAGCGCCGCCAUAUUAGAUUGGCUGCAGUGAUAUGGAUAGCCGCAUUAAAUUUCAACUGCAGCCAACCCACGAACUUGAUUUCUGCCACAAUUUUAAUUCCGAUUUUAUUUAAUUUUUACAUAUUUUAGUUUUGAGUAUUAAACAUGUGGUCGCGGAAGGUGUGCAACAAAGUACUUAAAUUUCCAAAUAAGCAUGAAAAAGUGAAUACAGUUAUAAAAUAUAUUUCUGUGCUGAGUAAUUAAACAAAAGCGAGUAAUAUGGCAGCAUUGAAAUCAAAUUUGCAUGGCGCCGCAAAAUAGAAUAAUAUUUCAAUAUUCAUAACACAUUUGUACGAAACAGUUACAUGCCAAUAUAUAAGUAAAUAUACAUAUGCAUUUAAUUUUUAACAUUAUUUCUUUAAUUUGCUUGGAGUUUUUUCCAGUUAUUUUUUCAAGUAAACUUCUAAAUAGUGAAGGCGUUGAGUAAUGAUCGCUAAAGACCGAUCGUUGACUGGAGCAAUGCAGUGAUGACAAAUGCUUGAACGAAAUUUCAUUGAAUAUUAUAAGCUGAUUUAAAAACCGUGCUAUAUAAGCAGCCUUGCGCAGGCUCAGUUCAAACCCACGAUCGAGAGCUGGA